GAUGAACGCUGGCGGCGUGCCUAAUACAUGCAAGUCGAGCGAACAGACGAGGAGCUUGCUCCUCUGACGUUAGCGGCGGACGGGUGAGUAACACGUGGAUAACCUACCUAUAAGACUGGGAUAACUUCGGGAAACCGGAGCUAAUACCGGAUAAUAUAUUGAACCGCAUGGUUCAAUAGUGAAAGACGGUUUUGCUGUCACUUAUAGAUGGAUCCGCGCCGCAUUAGCUAGUUGGUAAGGUAACGGCUUACCAAGGCAACGAUGCGUAGCCGACCUGAGAGGAUGAUCAGCCACACUGGAACUGAGACACGGUCCAGACUCCUACGGGAGGCAGCAGUAGGGAAUCUUGGGCAAUGGGCGAAAGCCUGACGGAGCCAUGCCGCGUGAGUGAUGAAGGUCUUCGGAUCGUAAAACUCUGUUAUUAGGGAAGAACAACUGUGUAAGUAACUAUCGCUGUCUUGACGGUACCUAAUCAGAAAGCAACGGCUAACUUCGUG
rnacentral:rRNA from 1 species